UACAGAGGGUGCAAGCGUUGUUCGGAAUUAUUGGGCGUAAAGGGCGCGUAGGCGGUGCGGUAAGUCUGUAGUGAAUCUCUGGGCUCAACUCAGAGUCUGCUGCAGAAACUGCCGGUGCUUGAGUGGUGGGAGAGGUGAGUGGAAAUUCCCGGUGUAGCGGUGAAAUGCGUAGAUAGUCGGGAGGAACACCAGAGGCGAAGGCGGCUACCUGGACAAUUGACUGACGGCUCAAGGCACGAAAGCGUGGGGACGCAAAAGGG
rnacentral:rRNA from 1 species